CUCGGGUAGAGACUGUGCUGCAUUGUCGCCAGGGUUUUCAGGUAGAGAUGUAGUCUAACGAGUGGUAACUAUCUAAAAGCAUGGAAGACCUGACUGACUUCUUGAGACGAAGAGAAGUCUCUGAGGAAAUAAUACAAACCCUGGAGAAUGAGAAGUGAAUUAUUUUUCCCUCUGUAGAUCGAUGCCAGUGUUAUAAAUCUGAUGUCAGAUGAGGAGCUGAAGACUUAUCUACCAUCAUAUGGUGAUCGCCUAGCAGUAUUUGGAUUUUGCAGACGGCAGGGCAACAGCCAGAAGUCGACGCUUUUUGAACGUCUGAAAACCAAAUUGUCCAAAAGAAAAACAUCUGAAGAUGGCAGCAGCACAGCGCAAGAACAUUCAGAACCAACCCAUAAAAGAAAUGCUCUGAAGACAAAGAGAAAAAUAGAAAUAGGAUGGAUGCAUUAUGAUGAAGAUGCUGAUGUUUUCAAGCAGGUUAGAGCUAGACGAGGAGGAGGGACAAGAAAAAUGGUAAUUUGCAAGGACGCUAAGAAAAGUGACAUAUUACAGGUUGCAAAAGAUCUGUUCUUUCCAAAUGGAGGAAAUGUUCGGG